UACGUAGGGUCCGAGCGUUGUCCGGAAUUACUGGGCGUAAAGAGCUCGUAGGUGGUUUGUCGCGUUGUUCGUGAAAACUCACAGCUCAACUGUGGGCGUGCGGGCGAUACGGGCAGACUAGAGUACUGCAGGGGAGACUGGAAUUCCUGGUGUAGCGGUGGAAUGCGCAGAUAUCAGGAGGAACACCGGUGGCGAAGGCGGGACUCUGGGCCGAUACUGACGCUGAGGAGCGAAAGCGUGGGGGAGCGAACAGG
rnacentral:rRNA from 1 species